GACGAACGCUGGCGGCGUGCUUAACACAUGCAAGUGGUGCGACGAACCAGGCUUCGGCCUGGGGCGAAGCCGCGAACGGGUGAGUAACACGUGGGCAAUCUGCCCCUUUGAUCGGGACAACCCGGGGAAACCCGGGCUAAUACCGAAUGAGGUGGCGACUCAUGAGAGUCGUCACGAAAGGAAGCUUCGGCCUCCGCGAAGGGAUGAGCCCGCGGCCCAUUAGCUUGUUGGUGGGGUAAUGGCCUACCAAGGCAACGAUGGGUAGCUGGUCUGAGAGGAUGAUCAACCAAACUGGGACUGAGACACGGCCCAGACUCCUACGGGAGGCUGCAGUGGGGAAUCUUGCGCAAUGGGCGACAGCUUGACGCAGCAACGCCGCGUGAGGGAAGAAGGCUUUCGGGUCGUAAACCUCUUUCAGUUAGGACGAAGCUUUAUUGGUUAAUAACCAAUUGGAGUGACGGUACUUUCGGAAGAAGCCCCGGCUAACUACGUGCCAGCCGCCGCCGUAA
rnacentral:rRNA from 1 species